UACGUAGGUCCCGAGCGUUGUCCGGAUUUAUUGGGCGUAAAGCGAGCGCAGGUGGUUUAUUAAGUCUGGUGUAAAAGGCAGUGGCUCAACCAUUGUAUGCAUUGGAAACUGGUAGACUUGAGUGCAGGAGAGGAGAGUGGAAUUCCAUGUGUAGCGGUGAAAUGCGUAGAUAUAUGGAGGAACACCAGUGGCGAAGGCGGAUUGCUGGACAGUAACUGACGCUGAGGCGCGAAAGCGUGGGGAGCAAACAGG
rnacentral:rRNA from 1 species